GGACAGUAGGACAGGAUGACCUUUGGAUGACCAAUCCAUGACCUAGGGUCAUCAGGGCGGCCGGUAAUAUAAUGAGAUAUAAAAACAUUUGGGUUAUAAUCUAGGUACCAUUCUACCGUGAUCAUUCCAUGGUAGUGUCACUCAGAGGCAAACAAACAAGAGAAAGACUCAGUGGUUCCAUGCAUAAUUGGGUGGUACCAUGCAUAGUCGGGUGGUAGGGUGGUACCAUACAUAGUCGGGUGGUAGGGUGGUCCCAUGCAUAGUCGGGUGGUAGGGUGGUUCCAUACAUAGUCGGGUGGUAGGGUGGUCCCAUGCAUAGUCGACUGUUAGGGUGGUCCCAUGCAUAGUCGGGUGCUAGGGUGGUCCCAUGCAUAGUCGGGUGUUAGGGUGGUCCCAUGCAUAGUCGGGUGGUAGGGUGGUUCCAUACAUAGUCGGGUGGUAGGGUGGUCCCAUGCAUAGUCGACUGUUAGGGUGGUCCCAUGCAGAGUCGGGUAUUAGGGUGGUUCCAUGCAUAGUCGGGUGGUAGGGUGGUCCCAUGCAUAGUCGGGUGGUAGGGUGGUCCCAUGCAUAGUCUGGUGGUAGGGUGGUUUCAUGCAUAGUCGGGUGGUAGGGUGGUCCCAUGCAUAGUCGGGUGGUAGGGUGGUUCCAUGCAUAGUCGGGUGGUAGGGUGGUUCCAUGCAUAAUCGGGUGUUAGGGUGGUCCCAUGCAUAGUCGGCUUGUAGGGUGGUCCCAUGCAUAGUCGGGUGGUAGGGUGGUCCCAUGCAUAGUCGGGUGGUAAGGUGGUCCCAUGCAUAGUCAGGUGGUAGGGUGGUCCCAUGCAUAGUCAGGUGGUUCCUUCCAGCAACUCCGUAUUGCGGAGAAUUGAGGAGUGUGACGGGCGACUAACUACCACAGUUCCCAUAACGGGUGAGUCAUCAUCAUCGUCUUUCAGACCUUUUUAGCAGAUCUCUCUCUCUCCGUCCUUGUCUCUCUCUCUCUCUCUCUCUCCCCCUCCUUCUCUCUCUCUCUCUCUCUCUCUCCUUGUCUCUCUCUCCUAUUCUCUCUCUCUCUC
ensembl:lncRNA